rnacentral:rRNA from 1 species
GACACUAAUAAGAUUAAAAUAUAUUAACUAGGUAAAGAAAGUUAGAUAAAAUUAUAUAAAAUUAUUUAAAUACAUUAUUCAUAAGUAAAAUUUGAAAAUAAAAUAGAUAACCAAAAAUAAUUUAAAUAUUGAAUCUUUGAAAUCUUAGAAAGAAACUGGGAUUUGAUACCCCAUUAUUCUUCGAAGAAAAUCGAUAUAAAUCUACCAGGGUACUACGAAUAACAAUUUAAAACCUAAAGAACUUGGCGGUAUUUUAGACUAUUUAGGGGAACCUGUUCCAUAAUCGAUAAUCCACGCCAAAUUUACCUCAAGUUGUAAUCAGCCUAUAUACCGUUGUCGCCAGGUAAUUUUUCAAAAACUAAAAAUUAGCAAAUUAACUUUCAGUUAAAACGUCAAAUCAUCGUAUAGCCUAUCUUGAGGGGAGAAUGGGUUACAAUAAAAAUAUGAAUUAAUAUUAAAACUAAUAUUAUGAAAGAGGACUUAAAAGUAAAAUUAAACAUAAAAUUAAUUUGAACAUAGCUCUGAAAUGUGU